GGUAACAGCUCAAAUUUGAAAUCUGGCCUCACGGUCCGAGUUGUAAUUUGUAGAGGAUGCUUCGAGCAUGGUCUGGCCUAAGUUCCUUGGAACAGGACGUCAUAGAGGGUGAGAAUCCCGUAUGCGGUCAGGUGCCUACGCUCAUGUGAAGCUCCUUCGACGAGUCGAGUUGUUUGGGAAUGCAGCUCAAAAUGGGUGGUAAAUUUCAUCUAAAGCUAAAUAUUGGCCAGAGACCGAUAGCGCACAAGUAGAGUGAUCGAAAGAUGAAAAGCACUUUGGAAAGAGAGUUAAACAGUACGUGAAAUUGUUGAAAGGGAAGCGCUUGCAACCAGACUUGCGCGCGGCCGAUCAUCCGGUGUUCUCACCGGUGCACUCGGCCGUGCUCAGGCCAGCAUCGGUUUUGGCGGCUGGAUAAAGGCCCUAGGAAUGUAGCUCCUCUCGGGGAGUGUUAUAGCCUAGGGUGCAAUGCAGCCUGCUGGGACCGAGGACCGCGC
rnacentral:rRNA from 1 species